GCUUCCAGCAUCUUUCCCUUUUCACUUUCCUCUUCUUUCCUUCUCUUUCCGUUUCUCUCAUACUAGAACGGAAGAACGAUGGAAAAUCAGGGUUCUUCCAUUUGCUUCCACAGAUUUCUCGAUCUCUCUCGAGCUCCGGAUCCCUAGCCUCCGUAUGAAGGAAAUCGUGAAUCCUGCAGAAUCCUUGGGUUUCCUGAUUUCAUCGGCUAUUUCAUCAGUUUUUGGAUUCGAUCAGGAUCGGUUUUUUACCCACGAAAUCUAGAGUCUUCUGAUGGCUUUUUCUAGGUUCGGUGAAUUUACAGGGGAGAGGGAGAGAGAGGCCUGUUGAUUU